UACGUAGGGUGCAAGCGUUGUCCGGAAUUAUUGGGCGUAAAGAGCUCGUAGGCGGUCUGUCGCGUCUGCUGUGAAAACACGGGGCUUAACCCCGUGCCUGCUUCCGAUACGGGCAGACUAGAGGUAUGCAGGGGAGAACGGAAUUCCUGGUGUAGCGGUGAAAUGCGCAGAUAUCAGGAGGAACACCGGUGGCGAAGGCGGUUCUCUGGGCAUUACCUGACGCUGAGGAGCGAAAGUGUGGGGAGCGAACAGG
rnacentral:rRNA from 1 species